AUGCUGAAGUUACAUGAGCUACAUCCCGUAGUUACAGUGUCCUCUAGUUUGAAAUCCUUAAGUUAAUAAGUCUAUACCAGGUACUGCUGGCUUUGAUUAAAGGUCAUUUUUAAAACUUAAAAACUCAAGACCUCACCUCACAGAUUAUAAUAGAAAAAGAAAUGGCCUCAGUUUGAUCUUGUUCAGAAUGACCCAGAUUGGUUUUGCUUUGGGUAUAGCUGUUUUGUUCAGAGUUACCUUACAGAGAAUUAUUUUCUGAGAUAAUCUUAAACUAGAAUGUUCAAAACGAAUUGAUAAUUGAAGUAUCAGGAUACAUAGAACACCUCAGAGAUUUUUCUUCAGGAGCUUCCACAAACUUUGAAUCCUUGUAUCUUUAUUUGUUAUUCAUACUACUAGUAGCAAAAUACAGAUUUUUCGUUUUGAUUUGGCUUCGUAGAGUAUCUCAAACUGAAACUUUUCUGCACAAAGAAUACAAUUAGGGAUUUUGUAAAUUCAAAUUGGCCCCUACUGAAUUAAAAAUAAGAUCAUUUAAAUAUAAUUCAGCAUAUGGGAAGUAACAUUGCACUAAUAUGGAAAUCACUGCCAGAGACAGUCUUUUUUCUUUUAAUUUGUUACUACUAGUCACAGACCCUACUUAUUCCAGUUUGGAAUUACUUAUUAAGGAGAAUUGGAAAUACAUAUGCCCAUGAUUAAAUUUGAUAGCUUUAAUUUGUAUUAUUUCUUUAUUGGCAGGAAGAGGUAUACCUUUGUUUUCCUUGCUGAAAACAAACAUGGAUUAACUGCCUCAAAUUUGUAUAAGUGAUUGGCUAGUCUAGAGAUUCUUGUUUUCAGAAGGGAGAGUGGUCUAGAUAGAAAAUGACAAAGAUGGCAAUAUAUACUUAAUGUUGUUAUUCUUAUGUUGUUACUGAAAUACUUAGAUUUCUAAAAUUUUAAAUCAUAAAUCACUUCUUUUUGUUUUGUUUUGGUUUUGUUAUUUUUCUUUUGUUCAUAAAUCACUUAUAGGAGGAUUUCCACUGACUAGCUGCAGUAUUUUCAGUUCACUACAUAUGGGCAAUUUGAGUUUUUUGUGUGCUUUCUUUCUGUCUGUCUUUUAUACCUAGUUUUGUACAUAUCUAACUGUUCUCUUUUGGUUGUUCAGAAACUGGAUUAUUUUUUCUUAAGCAGUGCUUAAUUUGUGUUUUUAAAUUUUGAUUCAGAAGUAGUCCCAGCUCAUAGGUGUUCAUGCUGUUACAUCUAGAACAUUUGUCAGGCUGUCAGCUCUCAUGUACAUAUGGUAUAGAAACCAUGGAGUUAGGCACUUCCUGGAUUUUUUUUUUAAAUGAGAAAAAUACUGUAUUUAAAAUGUAAAAUAAACUUUUAACAAGCAGGCACUAAUAUAUAUUUCUUCCAGCCUUUGAUUACAAAUUUGUUCGUGCACAUGUUAAGAUGAAUUAUCUCCUAAAAAUAUCAUUGUUCUUGGGAGCAGUAUAUGUUACUUUACAUAGCAGCGGUUCCUGUCAUGUGUUCACGUCAGAAUAUUUUUGGUUUUAAACUUUUUUUAUUGCCUUUGGCUCUUGAUUAGUACAGUACAAAUGCGAUUUCAAAAAGAUCUUGAAUAUAAUAUAUUUAAUCAAUUAAAAUGUUUAUCUGUAA